rnacentral:rRNA from 1 species
UGACGUGAGUAACGACAAAACGGGUGAAAAACCCGUUCGCCGAAAGACCAAGGGUUCCAGUCCAACGUUAAUCGGGGCUGGGUGAGUCGACCCCUAAGGCGAGGCCGAAAGGCGUAGUCGAUGGGAAAAUGGUUAAUAUUCCAUUACUUCUGUGUAAUGCGAUGAGAGGACGGAGAAGGCUAAAUCAGCCUGGCGUUGGUUGUCCAGGUGAAAGGAUGUAGGCAUGUAUCUUAGGCAAAUCCGGGGUACUCUAUGCUGAGAUCUGAUAGCAAGCUGUACUUGUACAGCGAAGUGGUUGAUGCCAUGCUUCCAGGAAAAGUCUCUAAGCUUCAGUUACACAGGAAUCGUACCCGAAACCGACACAGGUGGUCAGGUCGAGUAGACCAAGGCGCUUGAGAGAACUCUGCUGAAGGAACUAGGCAAAAUGGUACCGUAACUUCGGGAGAAGGUACGCUGUUGUUGGUGAUGGAACUCGCUUCCUGAGCUGACGACAGCCGCAGAAACCAGGCCGCUGCAACUGUUUAUUAAAAACAUAGCACUCUGCAAACACGAAAGUGGACGUAUAGGGUGUGAUGCCUGCCCGGUGCUGGAAGGUUAAUUGAUGGGGUUAGCGUAAGCGAAGCUCUUGAUCGAAGCCCCAGUAAACGGCGGCCGUAACUAUAACGGUCCUAAGGUAGCGAAAUUCCUUGUCGGGUAAGUUCCGACCUGCACGAAUGGCAUAAUGAUGGCGGCGCUGUCUCCAGCAGAGGCUCAGUGAAAUCGAAAUCGCUGUGAAGAUGCAGUGUACCCGCGGCUAGACGGAAAGACCCCGUGAACCUUUACUGCAGCUUGACACUGAACUUUGACCUUACUUGUGUAGGAUAGGUGGGAGGCUUUGAAGCUGGAACGCUAGUUCCAGUGGAGCCGUCCUUGAAAUACCACCCUGGUAAUGUUGAGGUUCUAACUCUGUCCCGUGAUCCGGGACGAGGACCGUGUCUGGUGGGUAGUUUGACUGGGGCGGUCUCCUCCUAAAGAGUAACGGAGGAGUACGAAGGUGCGCUCAGCGUGGUCGGAAAUCACGCGUAGAGUAUAAAGGCAAAAGCGCGCUUAACUGCGAGACCCACAAGUCGAGCAGGUACGAAAGUAGGUCUUAGUGAUCCGGUGGUUCUGUAUGGAAGGGCCAUCGCUCAACGGAUAAAAGGUACUCUGGGGAUAACAGGCUGAUACCGCCCAAGAGUUCAUAUCGACGGCGGUGUUUGGCACCUCGAUGUCGGCUCAUCUCAUCCUGGGGCUGAAGCAGGUCCCAAGGGUAUGGCUGUUCGCCAUUUAAAGAGGUACGCGAGCUGGGUUUAGAACGUCGUGAGACAGUUCGGUCCCUAUCUACCGUGGGCGCUGGAAAUUUGAGAGGAUCUGCUCCUAGUACGAGAGGACCAGAGUGGACGAACCUCUGGUGUACCGGUUGUGACGCCAGUCGCAUCGCCGGGUAGCUAUGUUCGGAAGGGAUAACCGCUGAAAGCAUCUAAGCGGGAAGCCUACCUCAAGAUAAGAUUUCCCUAGGACUUUAUGUCCUCUAAAGAGCCGUUCGAGACUAGGACGUUGAUAGGUUGGAUGUGGAAGCAUAGUGAUAUGUGAAGCUGACCAAUACUAAUUGCUCGUGAGGCUUGACUAU